UAUGUAGGGGGCGAGCGUUGUCCGGAUUUAUUGGGCGUAAAGAGCUCGUAGGCGGUUCGAUAAGUCGGACGUGAAAUCUCCACGCUCAACGUGGAGGGGCCGUUCGAUACUGUCGUGACUCGAGUCCGGUAGGGGAGUGUGGAAUUCCCGGUGUAGCGGUGAAAUGCGUAGAGAUCCGGAGGAAUACCAGUGGCGCAAGCGGCGCUCUGGGUCGAGCCUGACACUGAGACGCGAAGGCAUGGGGAGCGAACGGG
rnacentral:rRNA from 1 species